rnacentral:lncRNA from 1 species
GAAACAGGAGGCAUCUUGAAAAACAACGAAUAGGACUUCAGAGUUACAGAACAUCUCAGCAGACCUGGUCUCGCCUUUAAAGCAGCCAACAGCUUCCGGUUGCUGGAGUAGAACAAGGGUGAAAACCCGGACUGGAAGGCAGCUGUGUCUCUACAGUUCACAGCCAAGAGGGCAUUGCCCUGAGGAGUCAAGCAGUCCAAUCACAAGCCCGGCCCAGGUCUCACCAACAGUUCCUUGCAGCCUCUUCCUGAAGAUCUUUGAGGGGAAAUACAAAGAAGAAAUAUUUCAGACCACAGCGUGAUAAAGAAGUCCUGAUCGCCCAGUGCAUCUUUAUGUUGUGUCAUAAAGAAUUGAAAACCACACGUAAAAGCAUGGUGUGGCUUCCUGAAAGGCCAGUUUUUAUGAUACGCCCCCAGCGCCACCAUAGUUGGCAUCCAGUCCUAAUUUACUGAGAUAUCCAGAGAGAAUUAUGGUGGAGCAUCCUGGCAGCAGUGACAUCUUAGGGAUAUGUAAAAGAAGAUGGCAGCUGGCAAAUAGCAACGGAAAAUCUGUUCAUAUCGAUUCGCCUGGCGAAAUCUAUGGUUGAGGAAAAAGAACACAGUGAUAUUUAACCCCUUCCACAAAUGAUGCAAGCGAUAUGACUUGAGAUGAACAGUUGCUCUGGAAAUCAAACAGCAUGAAAGACUGUGCCAAAAUAGAGAAAGGAAGACUUGCUCCCUC